GGAGAGGUGGCAGAGUGGUCGAAUGCGGCAGACUCGAAAUCUGUUGAAGGGUCACACCUUCCGGGGGUUCGAAUCCCCCCCUCUCCG
rfam:Synechococcus sp. PCC 6312, complete genome.